GUCUCUGUGGAGAAAUGGAUUGCGCGUUGGACUUCUAAUCCAAAGGUCGUGGGUUCGAAUCCCACCUGGGAUG